UCGAAACUGAAAGCAGCUGGACGGGCACAGCUCGGUUCGACAGAGGUGGAUUAGUGGUGGAAAUAAGGUCCGUUCAGUAAGUUGUACAGCCUGUUGUGAAAUCUAAUAUGAUGGUUAAAUAAGCUGCACUGAAGGACUAAAUGGAUAUUAUAAUUAAGAAAAAAGUGAAGCUGAUCAGGUGGCUGAGCGCGGAUCCGUUCAUUUUACAGCAUGUACACUCACGGCAGCUUCUAACGAUGGACGAAUACGGCAAACUUAUGGAUAUCUCAGAUCGUGCUGACCGAAUCACAAAACUCCUGGACACAAUUCUCAGCAAGGGUGACCCAUUGUGCCUUAAAUUUCUGGACAUGCUGAAAGAAAACGAUGUGAAUGAGUCCAGCCCGGAGCUCAGGGAAUGGAUAUCAACAGUAAACACUUCAGAGCAGAGCCUGGCCAUCGGUAGAUCUGAAACUGACUGUAUUGCAGGUACACAAAUGAAUCCUGGGACCCAAAGCCAAGGUGAUAAUGUGACGAUUAAUGUAAGUGGCGGUGCCAGUUACUUUGGCCCCAUCAUACGUAACUCAACAAUGCAGAGCUGCAAUAUAAAUGCGAAUAUGGGGUCCAACCAAAAAUAAGGAGUGAUGAAAAACUGCAUAACCACCGCUCAGGGAUGAUGAUGCCUCUCACACCAACAGCACUGCUGAUAAUCAGGAAUCUGUGAGGAAGAUCCAAGGUGCCUUAUAUAAUGAUGUAGAAAACAUUGUUAGAACCAUCAGUGACCUCAGCCUGUCGGAUCAAAUGCCAGUGAAAUACUGAACAAAGCCAAAGAAAGUUGUGGAGCUUACAGGCAGGUGACGUCCUUCACCUUCCACGCAACACUCUGCUGUUUACUUCCAACCACUUCAGGUCACAUAUUCCAUAUUCACAUACCUCCACACCUAUGUUUGUUUACAGUAAAAGUACUUAAGUGUAUGUUUUACAGUAUACUGUUUCCCCAGUGUAACAUUCCCUUCAGGCUCCUGAUAAUUCCAGUAUACAAAUGGAGAUACAGUAGUGAUUGUUGAUUGUCUAUUCAUUCUGUGUUUUCUCCGCCAGUUUUUCUCUUGUUUUUCUGAUGAAUUUUGCUCUUAAAGCCUUAACAGCAUAUGAAUUUAUAACAUGGACUCUUUUUAUAUUCUUUGUAUAAGAUUUAUAUUUUAUACACAAUUGGCCUUUAUUGCAUGUAUUGAGAGUGUUGUGGUGGGGGCACAGGGGGGGUUUGUAAUAGUGACUUUAAUAAAGAAAUGCUUUGUCUUUAUACUCAUCAUA